GACGAACGCUGGCGGCGCGCUUAACACAUGCAAGUCGAACGGAAAGGCCUGCUUUCCCUUGUGGAUUGCGGGUACUCGAGUGGCGAACGGGUGAGUAACACGUGAGUGAUCUGCCCCCAACUUGGGUAUAAGCCUGGGAAACUGGGUCUAAUUCCCGAUAGGACUGCAGGGUGGUGCCUGUGGUGGAAAACGAUUUUCUAGUGGUUGGGGAUGAGCUCGCGGCCUAUCAGCUUGUUGGUGGGGUAAUGGCCUACCAAGGCGGCGACGGGUAGCCGGCCUGGGAGGGUGGACGGCCACAUUGGGACUGAGAUACGGCCCAGACUCCUACGGGAGGCAGCAGUGGGGAAUAUUGCACAAUGGGCGGAAGCCUGAUGCAGCGACGCCGAGUGGGGGAUGACGGCCUUCGGGUUGUAAACUCCUUUCGACCGCGAGGAAGCCACCUGGUUGGAAGGGUGGUGACGGUAGUGGUAGAAGAAGCACCGGCUAACUACGUG
rnacentral:rRNA from 1 species